GCCCGCCUAGCUCAAUCGGAUAGAGCGUCAGACUCUUACCGUUCAUUCGACGGUGUGCUGUUCGACAGGCGGGUGUGAUCUGAAGGCUGCGAGUUCGACCCUCGCGGUGGGCU
rfam:Ceriporiopsis subvermispora B unplaced genomic scaffold CERSTscaffold_1, whole genome shotgun sequence.